CUAGUCGGUUCACAAAACAUCGAACAGCCCAGCCCUUCAGCUAGAGUCACGUCAAGCAAGUGAAACUAAAUCUAAUUCACUUAAACAGACCUUCACGGGUAUUGCAGCAACAAAGUGUCGUGAAUGUGGAUGAUUUGCGCCUCAUUUUUAGCGACAAGCAACUGGAAAAUAAGAAAUCACUCUCCCGUUACCAGAUCAGGGACAAAUCCACAAUAUUCAUCAUAACACCGAUAGAUGGAGAAGAAAUAGAAACCUGUUCAAGAUUUACAAUGCACUCUGAAGGAGAAUUGAACUGUAGUGAUCUGUGUUCUCACUCAGAAGCAUGAGACGCAAUCGUGGCUUUAAUUUGGCACAUUUUCAGAGAGGUGGUGGCACAUCACUGUCCCAUGUUACGGAGCAAGUGAGCCUGUGGCAUGUCGGAUUGUCUGGUGACCAUUAGUUUUUGUUGGAUAGCAGAUCAUGGUCUCUCUUUGGGGCUUUGCAAUUGCUUGUUUGGUGGGUGGUGGGUGCUGAUGCUUCCUGC